AUUUAGGUAGCUUAAUUAAAGUUUGAUAUUGAAAAUAUCUUGAUAGUUUAAAACUUCUAAAUA
rnacentral:tRNA from 1 species